rnacentral:tRNA from 1 species
GGGGAUGUAGCUCAAAUGGUAGAGCGCUCGCUUAGGUACAGGGAUCGAUACCCUGCUUCUCCA